GCGAGUCCUGCGGGCGGGGGUGCAGGACUAGGCCACUCCUGCAACCCCCUGGCCUCAAGGCCCCUUUGCUCUCAGGGGUCGCGUCUGCACCCUCAGGGUUGCUGUGAAGAUCAGGGCUUGCCCAUAAGCCUGGUGCUCAGUGGGGCUGCGGCUCUGUUUGUUCCACCACCUGCUACCUUCCCUUUUGGUGUAGUGGCAGGGAGACCACCGCAUGUGCAUUUACGCAGCCCCUUCUCGGCAGCCUGGAUCGUGGCUGGUCCUCUGUGAGGGCGAGGGGUGUGCCCAGGACUCAGCUCUGCGGGAGCUGGUGGAUGCACACUCAGGCCUGUUUCUCAGCCAGGGGAAAACAAUUGGUUCAGAGGCUGGAUCCCUGGGGACACCAGGAGCAGGUGCGGGCAGCUCUGAGCUUCCCACCACUCCCUGGCUGAGCCUCUCUAAACUGGGCCUAUAGACCCAUGGGGGCUGGGAGCCUUCCUGCAGGAGGCAGAGGCUGAAUAGAUGAGGAGAUGGAGUUCUACAUGCGGACCUUCAGACAUAUGCGCCCAGAGCCCCCUGGCCAGGCCGGGCCAGCAGCAGUGAAUGCCAAUCCCUCCCAGUUUCUUGCCACCCGUGGCCAAGCGGAACCUCCACCACCCUCUUCCCCAGACACUCUCGCCCUGCCUCCCCGGAUCCGACCCCAGGUAGGAGGGACUGUGCUGGGCCUCCGGUCCAGGUGGAGUGGGAUAGAAAGAAGCCUCUACCCUGGCGCUCGCCUCUGCUUCUUUUGGCGAUGUGGGGCCCUCAGGCUCCCCCGUGUCUCUGCAGAAAAAGAGGAAGAGGCGCGUGUAUAAAGUGCGAACGUCUGAGACCUCGGAUCCGGCGUCGGGUGAGCGCCUCUCCCUGUCCGGGUCCUGCUCUGGGAACUCGAGGGAGGGGAAGGCAGAGCCACAAGCGA
rnacentral:lncRNA from 1 species